ACCGAUGGCGACCGGCGCACGGGUGAGUAACACGUAUCCAACCUGCCCUUUACUCGGGAUAGCCUUUCGAAAGAAAGAUUAAUACCCGAUAGCAUAAUGAUUCCGCAUGGUUUCAUUAUUAAAGGAUUCCGGUAAAGGAUGGGGAUGCGUUCCAUUAGGUUGUUGGUGAGGUAACGGCUCACCAAGCCUUCGAUGGAUAGGGGUUCUGAGAGGAAGGUCCCCCACAUUGGAACUGAGACACGGUCCAA
rnacentral:rRNA from 1 species